UGGGUGUGAUCAGAGCAAGGGGCCUGAAGAAUGGCUCUGCUGUUUACAACACACCCAACAGGAAUCUGGGUCCAUUGUGACAAGGGGCAUAAAGCUUGUGGCUUUCCUUUGAACAAAUGCCCUACACAU
rnacentral:snoRNA from 1 species